rnacentral:snRNA from 1 species
CUUGCUUUGGCAAGAUGUAUGAACACUGAAAAAAACAGAGAAGAUUAGCAUGGCCCCUCUGCAAGGAUCACAUGCAAAUUUAUGAAACAUUCCAAAUAUAU